CCUUUGACGUUAGCGGCGGACGGGUGAGUAACACGUGGGUAACCUACCUAUAAGACUGGGAUAACUUCGGGAAACCGGAGCUAAUACCGGAUAAUAUUUCGAACCGCAUGGUUCGAUAGUGAAAGGUGGUUUUGCUAUCACUUAUAGAUGGACCCGCGCCGUAUUAGCUAGUUGGUAAGGUAACGGCUUACCAAGGCGACGAUACGUAGCCGACCUGAGAGGGUGAUCGGCCACACUGGAACUGAGACACGGUCCAGACUCCUACCGGGAGGCAGCAGAC
rnacentral:rRNA from 1 species